CUUAUUAACACUUAUUUCUAUUCUCUAUUUGAUUCUUUACUGUUUUGGGGAUUUUAUUUCAGAUCUGAAAAUUCAAAAAUCUAAUCUUUUAAUUUUCUGUUUCGUUUCAGAUCUAAUUGUUUAGGGUUUUCGUAGGAGUUUCUCGUGACUUGGCAACUCGAUCUUGGUCCGCGCGCAACCCCGUAUCAUUUGGUAUCAGAUUUUGGGCGUUUUGGGUGUUCUUGGUUGAUUUCUAAACUGAUCUCUAUUUUUUAAAUUACAAACAGCAGUUUUACCCAG
rnacentral:lncRNA from 1 species